rnacentral:rRNA from 1 species
GAGUAAUGUAUAGGAAUCUACCUAGUAGUACGGAAUAAUUGUUGGAAACGGCAACUAAUACCGUAUACGCCCUACGGGGGAAAAAUUUAUUGCUAUUAGAUGAGCCUAUAUUAGAUUAGUUAGUUGGUGAGGUAAAGGCUUACCAAGACAAUGAUCUAUAGCUGAUCUGAGAGGAUGAUCAGCCACACUGGAACUGAGAUACGGUCCAGACUCCUACGGGAGGCAGCAGUGGGGAAUAUUGGACAAUGGGCGAAAGCCUGAUCCAGCUAUGCCGCAUGAGUGAAGAAGGCCUUCGGGUUGUAAAGCUCUUUUAGUGAGGAAGAUAAUGACGGUACUCACAGAAGAAGUCCUGGCUAACUCCGUGCCAGCAGCCGCGGUAAUACGGAGAGGGCUAGCGUUAUUCGGAAUUAUUGGGCGUAAAGGGCGCGUAGGCGGAUUAGUAAGUUAAAAGUGAAAUCCCAAGGCUCAACCUUGGAAUUGCUUUUAAAACUGCUAAUCUAGAGAUUGAAAGAGGAUAGAGGAAUUCCUAGUGUAGAGGUGAAAUUCGUAAAUAUUAGGAGGAACACCAGUGGCGAANGCGUCUAUCUGGUUCAAAUCUGACGCUGAGGCGCGAAGGCGUGGGGAG